CCUACGGGGCUGCAGUGGGGAAUAUUGGACAAUGGGCGAAAGCCUGAUCCAGCCAUGCCGCGUGUGUGAAGAAGGCCUUCGGGUUGUAAAGCACUUUCAGUGGGGAAGAAAGCCUUGGGGCUAAUACCCUCGAGGAAGGACAUCACCCACAGAAGAAGCACCGGCUAACUCCGUGCCAGCAGCCGCGGUAAUACGGAGGGUGCGAGCGUUAAUCGGAAUUACUGGGCGUAAAGCGCGCGUAGGCGGUCUGAUAAGCCGGUUGUGAAAGCCCCGGGCUCAACCUGGGAACGGCAUCCGGAACUGUCAGGCUAGAGUGCAGGAGAGGAAGGUAGAAUUCCCGGUGUAGCGGUGAAAUGCGUAGAGAUCGGGAGGAAUACCAGUGGCGAAGGCGGCCUUCUGGACUGACACUGACGCUGAGGUGCGAAAGCGUGGGUAGCAAACAGGAUUAGAUACCCCAGUAGUC
rnacentral:rRNA from 1 species